UGUUAUUCUUUAAUGUCUAUAUAGAUAAACGAGUUUUGGUUGUUAAUAUGAAUUAUUUUCUAAAUAAUAAUUUAAAAUUCAUCAACAACAAUCAUUUGAUUUAUAAUAAAUAUAUAUCUACAACAACAUCAUAUCUAGUGAAAUUUUGUAAGUGAGGCCUGAGGAGGGUAGGGGUACACAAACCUUACCACUAUCUCGGAGAGGUAGAUUCUUUCCGAAAGACCCUCGACUAUUAAUUAUUUUUGUAUACCAACAUUGAAAUAUAUUUAUAAAAUUAUAAUUAUUUAUGAUUUUCACGUAUAAAUAUAUAUUAGAAUUUUGAUUUUUAAUAAAAUUAUUUUUUACUAUUUUGCUCAUUUAUAAUAUUAUAGUUUGUCAUUAGAUUAUAUACUCAAUUAAUAUUUCUCACUUUUAUUUUUUAUCAUAAAAAUAAUUUUUAAAUUUUAUAGAAAAUAUAUUUUUAUAAAAAAAUUUUCUUUUUAAAAAGAGAUACAAAUGUUGAUAUAAAUAUAAGAGUAAAAUAGGUAUUUUAAAAAAUCAAAUAGGAAAAAGGAAGGAGAAUGAUUAUUAUUCAAAGUUGAGGGGGGUGUUUGAUUUUUACAAAAAAGUUCGGGGGUGUAAACAAUUUUAACCCAUAAAAAAUAUGUUGAAUUUUUUUGUCAAGUUCGCUUGUCACAUUUUUUAGAAUAAUUUUGUUGGAUUUGAUUUUUAUUUUUUUUUGAAAUUUUCUUCUUCGAUUCAAUCUCAAUACAAAAUUUUCAGUAUUUUUUUUGAGUAUUUUUUAAUUUGUUCAUCAAAACAAGAAUUCAAUAAAUUUAAAAUUAGUUUAGUUAUUGAGAAAAAUUGAUUGUGAUUGAAUAAAUUAAAUUUUCUUAAACUUCUUUUUAUGAAAACUGAACUUACUAUCGAAAUUUACAUGAAAAAAUAUUUUUGACGUACAUUUUGUUGGAGCUGGUUGAUGAUGGUAGUGAAGAAAAAUGGAGAAAAGAAGAGAGGGGUGAUGGGUUAUGAAAAGAGAGUGGUUGAAAAUAUAAAGAUGGACCCACUUAUUUAUUUAUUUUUACUUUUUUUAAUUAAAAUGCACUUUAUUUUUUAUUUUUUUCCACGUUCCCCUUAAGGGGUAAUAUAAUUCAUGCAAUAGUUAUUUAGGGGAUAAAUAAUUAUCGAUAAAAUUAAUGUGCUAAAGUAAGUUUUAACAAUACGCUCAGGGGAGAAAUUAUGCUUUUUCCCUUAAAAUUAUCAAGAACAUGGAUAUGUGUUCUUUCUUUUUAUUCUUUUUGAAAACGUAUGCUCUUCCAAACAAUUAGGUUUUACACCUACCCUUUUCCUUCACUUCCUCAAGGAGGAAAAAGAAAAAAGAAAUAAGAAUUACUCCCUUGAAAUUUUGUAAAGAAACAGGAAUAGGGUGGAUGUAUUUUCUUAAGGCAAAUCGGUCUAAUAAAUUUUUGUACAGUUUACAGCUGUACUUGUUUGAUUUUGUAUUUUGAAUCUUUUUACUCACUAUUUUAUCAGUUGAACACUUAAAUUCAAACAAAAUAGUUAAACUCAAACAAAAGAAGAAUUUAAACCCCUCUUAUCAAGUGUGUAGCUCAUUCACCCUUAAAUAGAUGACAUGUAUGAUUUACAUUACAUAAAUUAAUGCCAUGUCAUAAUUAUCUCUAUUAAUCAAAAUAUUAGAUAUAAAGCAUAAUAAUAAUUUUUUAAUUUAUUUUUAAAGUAAAUUUCUAUUUCUCUCACCUUCAUCCACCUCCCACAACCCACAACCACGGUCACUAUCACCUAGACCCCCUUAUUCUCUUUUUCUUCUAUUUAAAUUUGUCUUCAUAUAAAAAAAAAGGCAUAUAGAAAAUUAAAGUUUAGGGUUUAAGCUCUUUCUGAAUUUACCAAAAACACACUUUUGCUGAAGGCUCUGUUUCAUGACAUAUUACGAUUGUAUUCUUAGAUGCUGCUACUUUAUUAGUUUUUUUUAAUUUUUUUCAAUUAAGUUCUUGAUUUUUCUUCAAAAUUUUGAAAAAUUAAACUAUUUUUGAAGUGGGUAUUGGUUAGUUGAUGGUGUUAAGCAUGUUUACAUCCCCAAAAAAAUUAUUUUUUGCUAUUGGGUUCUUGCUUUUGCUUCAAAACUUUUAAAAAUUAAACUUUUUCUGAAGUGGGUAUGUUAAUUAUCCCACAUCGAAAAAGGGAUGUGUAAUUAGUCUCCUUAUAUGGAGUUGGACAAUCUUUCCCUCAUGAGCUAGCUUUUGAUGUUGAGUUAGACCUAAGAUCCAUUCUUUAUAUGGUAUCAGAGACAAACCCAUCUCAAAUCUUUGUUCACCGAUGUUGGGCCCCCACAUUAUAUUGUUCACACUCUAGUUAAGCGUGUGGGUGAGUGUUAAGUAUCUAAAUUGGAAAAGGGAUAGGUAAUUAGUCUCUUUAUAUGGACUUGAGCAAUCCUCUCCUCAUGAGCUAACUUUUGAGAUUGAAUUAGGCCUAAGAUCCAUUCUUUACAUAUAGAAACUUGAAGAGCAAGUAUUGGAGAAUUUGCUAAGUGAUUUGUUUAUUCUUUAUAUCAUGAUUUAUACAAGAUAGGAUUAGCUACAGGACAAAAAAAUUGAAACUUCCUACAGUCUACUUCGUACAAUGUAUGUACAAUUGUUCUAUUCUUAUAACAAACUAACAACUACUUAUAUUCUAUCCUAAAUGUAUAUGCAAGAAAGCUACAAAAUUAUUAUUCUCUUUGGGCCUCUGUAUUUAUUGUGGCUCAAUGUUGAAUGUCCCAGAGUUGAGGAAAAGAAAACUUUGGCCCAAUAUCACCAACAGUUUUUAUGGAUCAGUCAAACAUAUGCUUGAGUGUUCAUAGUUGGAGUCUUGUGUCUCUUCAUCCUCAAUAUUUGUAGCAGCAGUAUCACCAUUGUCAACACCCCCUUUAAGUUGAAGGUUGUAGAAGGAAGCCCCAACUUGGAAAGUACAGAGAAAUAAGAAGGUCCCGAUAAUGGUUUGGUAAAAAUGUCUGCCAGUUGAAAAAAAGAGGGCACAAAAUUUAAGAAAAUGAUACCAGAAAAAAAUUAUUGACUAACAAAGUGGCAAUCAAAUUCCACAUGUUUUGUGUGCUCGUGAAAGACUGGAUUUUUAACUAUAUGAAGGGUGGAUUUGUUGUCCGAGUGAAUUAGUAUAGGCAGCUCAGGUAUGAGAGAAAGAUCCCGAAGCAGACAAUGAAGCCAAGUGAGCUCAGAGAUCAAUCUACGCAUAGACCUAUACUCUGCUUCAGCAGAGUAAAGGGAAAUAAGACUUGCUUUUUAGAUUUCCAAGAAAUUAGAGAUCCCCCUAGACUGAUGAAAAAUCCUUUGACUGAGAAAUAAGAGUCAACACACGAUGCCCAAUCGACAUCACAAAAUGCAAGUAGAGAAAAAGAGAGAGACGACGACAUGAGCAAACCUUGACCAGGUUUAAGGCUUAAAUACCGAAGAACCCGCAGAGCAACACUAUAGUAAGUUGUACAAGGAGAGUGCAUAAACUAAGAGACAUAUUGAAUGACAAAGAAAAUAUUUGACUGUGUGUGGGUGAGAUAGUUCAGACAACCAUUAUUCUUUGAUAAAUGGUGCGGUUGAGUAAGAGAUCCCCUGAAUCAACACUUAAUUCAAAAGAAGGGUCCAAAGGAGAUGAAACCGGAGGCAAAUAGUCACAUUUGAAUUUUGAUAGGAGGUCAAGGGUGAACCUGCAUUGGGAAAUGAUAAAACCUUGAGAUUCUUGAAGGAUUUCCAUACCCAGGAAGUAAUGUAAGGUACCCAAAUCUUUAAUUUUGAAUUUUGUGUUAAGAAAUAGCGUGAAACUGUGUAAUUUUGCGUAUCGUUCUCUGUGACAAGUUUGUCAUCUACAUACACAUCUGGGAUAAAGAUCAGAUUACCAUUAUAUUUAAAAAAUAGUGAGUAAUCAUUUAAGGAAGAAGUGUAGCCUUUGAGUUGUAGUGUUGCAGCCAAUCUAGCAUACCAUUGCCUUGAGGCUUGCCUCAGUCCAUAUAAUAACUUUCUUAGCCUGCAAACAUGAUUAGGACUGGUAGGGGACAUGUUGGGGGAAAUUUCAUAUAAACUUUUUCUUGCAAAUCCCCAUGCAAAAAAGCAUUAUUAACAUCAAGCUGAUUUAAAUCCCAGUUUUUAUUAAAUUCCAAUGCCAGAAAACAUCUAAUGAUGGUCAUUUUGACCACAGGAGAGUAUGUUUCGCUAAUUUCAAUCCCUUUUCUUUGAAUAUCACCUCGAACCACUGGUCUAGCUUUCAAUCUCUCAAUUGAGCCAUCUGACCUGUGCUUGACCUUUUAGACCUAUUUACAUGGCAAUGCCUUCUUAUCAACUAGUAAUUCAAUGACAUCCCAAGAGUGGUUGGACCCAAGGGCCUCAAACUCAGCUUCCAUAUCUUUCUGCCAACCAGGGUGCAUGAUGGCUUGGUUAAAAUUCUGGGGUUCAGAAAUGCCAGAGAGGGAGUUUAAGAAAUGCUGAUUAAGGGUAGAUAAAACAGUAAAAGAAAGAACAGUAGGAUUAGAAGAAGUGGUAAAGAAGGCUAAGGUGACUGAUUCUGAUCUUUUGGUUAGGUCAGUAGGAACAUGAGUAAAAGAGUUGGAACUAGAAAGUAGAUUAGUUUGGGAAGAAGUGGGAGGAAUAGGAUCAAGAGGUUGUUGAUCUGGAGUAGGUGAAGCUAUAUCAGGUUGUAUGGAAUAUGGUGACAUAGUAGUAGAGGGUAAGUCAUCAGUUGGAGAUGAAGGAGGUGUUGAGAAAAUAUAUAGUGUGGAAUGUGAGAGGAAUGGAAACACAUUUUCCUAGAAUCUCACUUCCUUGGAAACAAACAUAUCCCUAGUUUUCAAGUCCAGUAAUUUGUACCCUUUUUAUCUGGUGGAUAGCCUAGAAAAGCACAAAGGAUAGCUCUGGGGGCAAAUUUAGCUCUAUUAUGUGCAAGGGUAAAAGAAAAAAAUAGGCAACCAAAGCUUUUAAGGUGAUCAUAUGUAGGUGGCUUUCCAAAAAAUAGCUCAAAGUGUUUUGUUAUGACGAAUAGAUGAGGUAAAUCUGUUAAUUAGGAAGGUAGUAAUAAGUAGACAUUCCUUUCAAUAGCAUAUGGAAAGAUUAGACUGAUUUAGUAGGGCUUUAGAAGUCUCUAGGAGGUGUCUAUGCUUAUUCUCAUUAACUCCAUUUUGUUGAGGGGAAGCAGUGCAAGAAGUCUGAUUUAUUAUACCAGCAGUGGUAAAAAGAUUCAGCAAGAAGAGAACCACCCCCAAGUUUUAAAGCAUUAUCAUACUUUACAAUUUUCACCUUAGCAUUGUAUUGUCUUUUAAUUAAAGCUAUGAAAGAUUUUAAAACAAGGAAAACAUUACUUUUAGUGGUUAAAAGAUAUGUCUAAGUCAUUCUGCUAAAAUCAUCGACUAUGGUGAGAAAGUAUCUAUAACCAUCAUGAGUGGGUAAUUUGUAAGAUUCCCAAGUGUCCAGGUGUAUCAAAUCAAACGGAACUGAAGUUUUAAUAGAACUAUGGGGAAAUGGUAGCUUGGAUUGCCUAGCCAAAGGGGACACAUCACAAGAACAAUUUUCAUUGAUUAAAGAAGAAAUAAGGCUCAAUUUUUUCAAUGCAUGAAAAGGUACAUGUCUCAAUCUAUUGUGCCAUAAUGCCAAAAUAGAAGGGCAUUUUACAGGUCCAGAAGUAGUGUUAGAAACAGAGUUAGAAAUACUAGAACUAGGAUCUAAUUGAGACUUGAAGAAAAAUUGUGAUUAAGAACUUAUUGUGUGAAGGAUGUAGACUUCUGUUCUUGCUUCACCAAGCACUAGAGGGAUUUUUAUUAAAAGGACCUACAUAACACAACAUGUGGGGGAAAAUGUAAGAUGACAAAGCAACUAUUUGCAAAAUUUUUGUACUGAGAUAAGAUUAAUUUUGAAUGAAAAAAUGAGAAGUACAUCAUAUAAAACAAGGUCAGGAGAUAGACUAACAGAUCUAAUAUGUGUGAACUUUACCCUGAAAGAGUUAGGUAAAUUGACAAAAAUUAGUGAAAAUAAAGGAGUGAGAAAGGUGAAAAAUGUAGGAUCAAAGGACAUAUAUUAUGAAGCCCCAGAAUCAAUGAUCCAUUGUGAGAAAUUAACAUAAGUUGAAUAAGCUAUAGGGUUAUAAAAGAUAUUACCAUCACACUGGAGGACAUUAGCAUGAACAGUUGAAUCUGAGAUCCCUGUGUCACUAAUUUGAAUAUUUUGAAGAAGCUUGACAAGCUAGGUAAAUUGAUCUUGAGAGAUAUAAAAAACCUGAGAAGGGUUAUCUGAAAUGAGGACAGAUUCAGAGGUUAUCACAAUAUUCCCUCUUAAUGUCCAAUGUGCCCCGAAACCUUUUGUGAAUUUGAAAUUUGCUGGGAAUCCUAUGAUUCUGUAGCACUUUUCUAGUGUGUGUCCUGGCUUCUUGUAAAGGAAACACAACAAAUUCUUUCUUUCCUUUGAGUCAACAGAUUGGGUAGAUUUAGGAUAAGAGAACCUUGUGCCACGUUGAUGACUGACCUGGUGAGUAUCCAAGUAUGAAGAGGGUUCUCCUGGAAAAGAUAGAUUCCUGUAUGUUUCCCUCUGUUUGUCAUUUUGAAGAAUAAAAGAAUAAGCAAGAUUAACACUGGGAAACGGGUUCAUGAUAAGAAUGUUGCUUCUCAUAGGUACAUACACAUCAUUCAACCCUAUGAGGAAUUGAAUCAACCUCUCAUCCUAUUGAGAUUUCAACAUCUUCUUCUUUCCUGCACAAGUACACGUGCAGGUGCAGGUGAUAGAGUUGAGCUCCUUUAGUUUGUCUGAAUCUAUCUUCAAGAUCUGUCCAUAAUGCUUGAGCUGAACUGGAAUACAAUGCACUUCCAUUAAUGUUUUUGGACAAAGAGUUCAGUAGCCAAGAGGUUACCAUAUCAUUACAUCUAGUCUAAAGGUUGAAAUCAGGAGAAAGAGAUGAAGGAACCUGGGAAGAUCCAUCAAUAUAGCAUAGCUUAUUUUUAUCAGAAAGAGCAAUGCAUAUGGAUCUCCUCCAAGCUCCAUAACCAGUCCCAUCAAAAGGAGUUUGAAUGAGAAGCAACCCUGGAGAAUCAAAAGGGUGCAAGAAGAAGGGGCUGCUCUGAUUUAGAGCAGUGGAAACAGGAGCAACAGGUGGAGUUUGAGUGGUUAGCACGA